AUUGAGUCAAUAUAGCACUUUAUAUUUCAAUAUGUCAGCAAAAUGAAAAAAGUUUCAAGUGAUCAGGAAAGGAUGACAACUGAUGCAGACUGACUGUCAAGGCAUGACAUUAUUUUUUCCCGUAUUUGUUACGCGGCAGAAUAAUUACCCUUUUUACCUGAGCUGAGACUAUCAGCACUUUCGCUACAGCGCAAAACAAGACCGUACGAAGGUACAUCAACCAUGUCGGUUGAUCCUAGUUUUUCCUUCAUUUAUAUGCAAAAACUGAAGGAUUCACACGAUUGUUGAAUGUGCUUUACAGCGCCACAACUAUUAAAGGGAAGCUAUUCAAGUCACGCCUCCUGUGUGGUUAUUAUAACAA